UACGGGGGGGGCAAGCGUUGUUCGGAAUUACUGGGCGUAAAGGGCUCGUAGGCGGCCAACUAAGUCAGACGUGAAAUCCCUCGGCUUAACCGGGGAACUGCAUCUGAUACUGGAUGGCUUGAGUUCGGGAGAGGGAUGCGGAAUUCCAGGUGUAGCGGUGAAAUGCGUAGAUAUCUGGAGGAACACCGGUGGCGAAGGCGGCAUCCUGGGCCAACACUGACGCUCAUGCACGAAAGCGUGGGGAGCAAACAGG
rnacentral:rRNA from 1 species